rnacentral:rRNA from 1 species
AGCGAACGCUGGCGGCAGGCCUAACACAUGCAAGUCGAACGAACUCUUCGGAGUUAGUGGCGGACGGGUGAGUAACACGUGGGAACGUGCCUUUUGGUUCGGAAUAACUCAGGGAAACUUGUGCUAAUACCGAAUGUGCCCUUCGGGGGUAAGAUUUAUCGCCAUUAGAGCGGCCCGCGUCUGAUUAGCUAGUUGGUGAGGUAACGGCUCACCAAGGCGACGAUCAGUAGCUGGUCUGAGAGGAUGACCAGCCACACUGGGACUGAGGCACGGCCCAGACUCGUACGGGAGGCAGCAGUGGGGAAUACUGCGCAAUGGGCGCAAGCCUGACGAAGCCAUGCCGCGUGAAUGAUGAAGGUCUUAGGAUUGUAAAAUUCUUUCACCGGGGACGAUAAUGACGGUACCCGGAGAAGAAGCCCCGGCUAACUUCGUG